rnacentral:tRNA from 1 species
UGGAAGGUAGCUCAGUCGGUAGAGCAGCGUCCUGUUAAGACGACGGUCACAGGUUCGAGCCCUGUCCCUCCAGCCA